rnacentral:rRNA from 1 species
AACUAUAUGCGUUGGAUCACUCGUUUCGUGUGUCAAUGAAGAGCGCAGCCAACUGUGUGAAUUAAUGUGAAUCGCAGACUGCUUUGAACAUUGACCUUUUGAACGCACAUUAUGGCCGUGUGGCCGAGGGUCG